CAAUAGCGUAUAUUAAAGUUGUUGCGGUUAAAAAGCUCGUAGUUGGAUUUCUGCCAGGAAGGACCGAUCCGCCUUAUGGGUGAGUUUCUGGCUCAGUCUUGGCAUCUUCCUGGGAAGCGCUACUGCACUUCGCUGUGUGGUGCGGUGAUCAGGACCCUUACUUUGAGGAAAUUAGAGUGUUUCAAGCAGGCAUCCGCCUUGAAUACAUUAGCAUGGAAUAUUCAAAUUAUGCUUCAUUUCCAUUUUUGUUGGUUUCUGGAUUUGAAGUGAUGAUGAAUAGGGAUAGUUGGGGGCAUUCGAAUUUAACUGUCAGAGGUGAAAUUCUUGGAUUUGUUAAAGACGGACGACUGCGAAAGCAUUUGCCAAGGAUGUUUUCAUUG
rnacentral:rRNA from 1 species